UACGUAGGGUGCAAGCGUUGUCCGGAAUUAUUGGGCGUAAAGAGCUCGUAGGCGGUUUGUCGCGUCUGCUGUGAAAACUCGGGGCUUAACUCCGGGCCUGCAGUGGGUACGGGCAGACUAGAGUGCGGUAGGGGAGACUGGAAUUCCCGGUGUAGCGGUGAAAUGCGCAGAUAUCGGGAGGAACACCGGUGGCGAAGGCGGUUCUCUGGGCCUUACCUGACGCUGAGGAGCGAAAGCGUGGGGGAGCGAACAGG
rnacentral:rRNA from 1 species